AUACCAAACAGAAAACAUAUUCACUUCUCACUGAACCAAUAAACUCUUCUCUCACUUUCUAUUUAGUUAAUGGCUGUGACUGGCAUGUGAGAAGAGUGAGGAGAAAUGACUUCAGUGGCCCCACAGGAGUUCGGAGCAGAGAACAGGGCAUCAUCUGGUCUGGCACUGUUCUUGGGCACCAAGUCCCUCGUCUACCACCACAGGCCUGUAAGCGCAGGUUGAGGCGGCUCCGCGUGAGGCGAUCGAAAACUGCCCGAAACCCGCGAGAACUGGACUACUGAGCCUGCUUUUGCAAGAUGGCGCCCCCGCCAACACCUGCGCGAAGGAGAGGAGCGAGGUGAAUCGUCCCUCAUUCCGCCCGUCGUGAACAGCGCUGUACUCCUGUGAAGCUUGCUGCGCCGUUGCUGUGGCGUAAACCCGACUUUUGUUACCUGGUGGGGAAAACACUGACAUAUUGGACUAGGUUGUGCACGAACCAAGGCAAUUUAUGUGAAGCUCUGGCUUUACUCCCCAGUGUAACUAUCAGCAUUAGAAUCUGUCACACAUAGAACAUACUGUUAACUUACAGGAAUAUUGUAAAAUUUCUAAUUUAAUGUAUUACCCUUAGACUCACCUCUUUCCUCAGUAACUAUUUUCUGGUCCAAUCGAUUUCUAAUGUAUUUUAAAAUACGUUCAAAUGAAAAUAAAAGUUCUAACAGUAUCA
ensembl:lncRNA